GAUGAAGAACGUAGCGAAAUGCGAUACGUAAUGUGAAUUGCAGAAUUCAGUGAAUCAUCGAAUCUUUGAACGCAUAUUGCGCUCUCUGGUAUUCCGGAGAGCAUGCUUGUUUAAGUAUCAGUAAACACCUCAACUCCCCUUUCUUUUUUUGAAAUGGGAGCUGGACUUGAGUGAUCCCAACGCUUUUCUCACCGAAAAGUGGCGGGUUACUUGAAAUGCAGGUGCAGCUGGACUUUUCUCUGAGCUAAAAGCAUAUCUAUUUAGUCUGCCUAAAAAACAGAUUAUUACCUUUGCUGCAGCUAACAUAAAGGAGAUUAGUUCUUGUGCUGACUGAUGCAGGAUUCACAGAGACAGCUUCGGCUGGCCUUUGUAAACUCGAUCUCAAAUCAAGUAAGACUACCCGCUGAACUUAAGCAUAUCAAUAAGCGGAGGA
rnacentral:misc_RNA from 1 species